AUGCCUGCAGGAAUUCGGGACAAGAGGGAUGUUUUUGAAGUUACCAGUUCGUUGCGUGAGAAGAGCAGACUGCGAUUCAUUUACACAGAAUUUCGUUUUCGGUUGCAGGGAGAAUCCCAACAGAACAACAACAUCAUUGAUUACUCACCCACAAAAAGAACUCCUUUAAAAACUGUUAUUGGACCUAAUGCAGUGUGUAAUGAAGGUCUGAAUGAAUUAUUGAUGGACAACAACCCAGAUCAUGAGAGAUGAGCGUCCGAAGACAUUUCAAUUUUAAAAUCCGUUCUAUCUACAACUGAGCCUGAUAUGAGGACUUGUGAAUGCUUCUCAUGACAAACCGUGUUCCUUCAACUUCCCUCAUUUCAAUGUUACUCUUUGACACUCGAAGAAAGUUUGUCUGGUCUCUUUCCCAGAUUAUCCAUUCGAUAUUUUAGCGUGUAAAAUUGUUUGAAAAUGUUGGAAAAAAAUUACUUACAAUUUUCAAAAAAAAGUCGGUUUUUAUCGAAGGAAACUUGGCAGCGUCUGAAGGUUCAGACGACGUUCUUCCUUAACACGGGAGCAUUCCCGACCCAGCAAUCGUCGGGAAUUGAAAGUCGGAGCCAUGCGCGUUGGAAUGGUGGGGGUGGGGGUGUGGGGGGGUUGAAAAAUUGAUUCCCUCCGUGAUUGAUCUUUCCGCGGGAAGCUCUCUCGCGACGCCGGCUCGACGCUUGGGCCCGCGGCCCGUGCUUCCGACGCCGAGACCUCAAGUGAACGAGUUGUUCCUGCAUGGAAACAAACCCGCUUAAAACGGAAAUACAUAGGCAAUAUUAGCUCAAAACCAUAGAAAUGAACCCAUAAAAUAAGAUAAAACAAUUAGAAAGAACUAAAAAUCCUUGAAUCCUUUGAAAUCAGAAAAGCAGUUCAUAACAACAGUAACUUAUUGAAUGCCCAAAUUGAUUUGAAUCUUGCCUCCACUCCCAUUAUUGAUGCUUGUUGCUUCAUUAAUGAAUAAUGCUGAAAGUCGGCUUUCUCGGUCUAUUUGUUUCACCUAACCUGUAAAUUCUUCUUCUUCUUCUGUUGGUUUAUUGGCUUAUAUUCCUUAUGUAGAACCUACAGCCAUCUAUAGAAACCUGUAAAUUCUGUUAUUAACUUUCCACCUGUGUCACUUAUAAUGUAGUUAUUCCCCGUAGUUUUAUUCUAAAUUGCAUGCCUUUCAAUAUUGCAUGUAUAUUUGCUUGUAUACUGUGCUCCCAUAUGUAUACUACUGAAGAUGGACCACCCUUGGGCCGAAAUGCAUCUGUUUGAAUAAUGAAAUAUAAUUCAAUGCAUCUACUUGGUCUACCUCGCUCUCUUCCAAACAAAUUAAAAUACUAGAAGACACACUCUCCCCUGAAAAUGUUACUUAAAAUACGUUAAAUUUAAUGGAAAUGCCCAAAAAUUCAGUCACGAAGAGGAAAUCAGGUGAGUUUUAAAAAUUGGCAUGCACUUGAGUUGAACGUCUUUACCUUUUUUUAUAAAGUUUUUGACAAAGUUCGUGGGCGAGGUUCCUCAUAUGGUUUUUUUUUGUUUCAGGAAAUCGGGGUUUAAAGUUAGCAUUGGAAUCAAUGAAUUUAAAGUUUCCGCUUGUAAUAAAACCAUCGUAGACUUUUUUGUCUAGGCUUUUACGGAUGUGAAAAACGAAGAGAAAAUUUCGGAUAAGUAAUGUUUCUCAGGUUGCUCGUUUUGAAUUUUUGAGGAACUAAAUCAAGUAAAGUCGGUCAUUCUUAGCGCCUCGGGGAGUUAUAAAAUCAGGGUGACUCAUUUCAAAAAGUAAGGUAAUGCCGCAGUGUGUUCUUUACAGCGGGAGCCUGCAAUUGAACUAGUAUCUAACACGUGUGUUGUUCAUGAGUCUAUAACUUCAAUCUUCCUGCUCCUUGCAUCAACGAAAAAUUGAAGCCAGUGAACUAUACAAAUACUGUGCAAAACAUAGUACAAAUUGUGCAACACAAAGUACAAACUGUGCGAUAUAUUACAAGAUAAGUGUGGCGCGGUGUAAAUGAAGAGGAAUGGAGGAAAUUAAAGAGAGAGGAGCAACUCACAGAAAUAGCAUCUCAAAUGGAAUUUUGAGCCUCUAACCUGGAAUCAAACGAAAAUUUCACAUUAGCAAAAAAGGAGAUGAAAGGAAUCAAAUUGAAGAUUCCAUUAAAAUUAAGGCAUUCAGUAUAAGAAAAAAAUGAUAGGUCUGAAACAUUUAAGCGAAACUUGUUUUAAAGUGAGAUUUCCAGGAAAAGGAACGAGAAAGAAUACCCACAUUAAAAACAUGCAUUCCAUCUACGCAAAAUUAUUUGAACCUUAGUACGAAACGCACGACUUGAUGUAAUUUUCAAACUUUCAAAGGAAUAUCCGCUGCUUCAGAGGAAUACCCUGAUUUUUCUGAUACGUUUUUCGCUCCCUGAAGAAUUCCGGUGCAUUUCCAUUUAUAUUUACAGGGCUGAGCACAAUUACUUGCAGGCAAUGCAGGCUGCUUGAGUUUUUUUUCAGUUAGUUUUCUUUUUUGAUGAAUUUUACCUAAAAAUUAAAUAACUGACCGUUAUCUCCAUUUAAUUUCUGCCUGAUAUCUAGGGUUCCUAUAAGUUUCUCCACGUCAACUUUUUUAUCGAUGUAUCUUGCAUUCAUAAUUGUAAGUACAUCAAUAUUAAGAUCACCCUUUGUGUUCAGCGACAAAUUUCUUCAUGAGUUUUAUUGAUUGACCAAUCGUCAUUUUCACUUUUGAAUUACCCCCCUAUCCCCUACAAACGGGGAAAAAUACGAAAUCUAAGCCAAUCCUCAGCGGCAACAGGAAUGAAUUGCGGUAUUCCAGCAGGAAAUCAACAAUGCAGCAUGGCGGCGAUUAAAAUUCGGAGUAUUUUCAAAGGAAGCGACUAAAUAAAAUUGAUGUUUGGUUUCCGCCGGUUUUACGCGGGACGGACAAAAAAGGGGUUUACCGGGGGGAAGAGCCCCACCGCCCACCGCGCACCUGCGGUUCCCAUAAUUAAUUGCGACUGGAUUUCGGCUGCUACCCUCUCCUUUCCCCCUCCCGCAAUAAGGCAGCAAAUGUACCCGCCUGCAAUACAUUACCAUCAAUACACGAGAGAUUUAGCGAUACAAAUAAAUGGCUGACCGCCAGAACGCACUCAAAUGCGAAAAAUGUUUUCGUGGAAAGUUCAUUUGUUAGCCUGGAUUAUUUUUUGGAUUUUACAUUGAAAAGGAGAGCUGUUAAAAAAAAAAGAAGAAGAGAAAAAAACAAGAUUAGUUUUGAGAAAGUUCACAUUCCACAACUUAAGGUCUGAAAAGUUAGAAAAGUGCCCCCAGACGCGG
rnacentral:lncRNA from 1 species